rnacentral:lncRNA from 1 species
UGGGUCAUGAUCGUUGAUUUGUUUGAAAUUGUUCUCGAGCCCAAUGUUAUUUAAAUUUAAUUCUUGCUGAGCUGCUUCAGAUCGAACUCGACCAGACAAGACUAAAAACCGGACCGUGACCUAAUAAAAAGGGUUAAUCAAACUUUUGCCCCAUACAUAAUUAAUUAUAACUUUCGAUCGAGUCAGGAUCAAAACCUAUUUAAUCAUAGCCUUAGCUUGAUUACAAUUCCAUCAGGUUACUAAACCGGGUCAA